UACAGAGGGUGCGAGCGUUGUUCGGAAUUAUUGGGCGUAAAGGGCGCGUAGGCGGUGCGGUAAGUCACCUGUGAAAUCUCCUGGCUCAACUGGGAGUCUGCAGGCGAAACUGCCGUGCUGGAGUGUGGGAGAGGUGCGUGGAAUUCCUGGUGUAGCGGUGAAAUGCGUAGAUAUCAGGAGGAACACCUGUGGCGAAAGCGGCUCUCUGGACCACUACUGACGCUGAGUGCGCGAAAGCUAGGGGAGCAAACAGG
rnacentral:rRNA from 1 species